CAAAAAUUUGAAAUAUUAUUUGUAUUUGGGAGGAAAAAACCUCCCAUAAUAGUUGUCCUGUCAGAAUUCAAAAGAAGUAAUUUAAAAGUCACGCGCAAGUUCGCGAAAACACCUCGUGGGUUACAUAACAGGGGGUGAAUAUUUUCACGAAACGUUUGUUCGCCACCACAGCAACCUAACUAAAUGUAUUAUUUUUUUGUAUUUUUAUAAUUGAUGAUAAAUAUACGCAAAUAUUUAUUGUUUUUAUCAUAAUCACA
rnacentral:lncRNA from 1 species